rnacentral:rRNA from 1 species
AUGAAGAAGAUCUUGUUCAGCAUGUUCUAUUCGAUACUGGUAGGAGAAAAACCCGACUCAGUAUUCUUAAAAAAAGAGGGGAAGCAGAACCAAGUCAAGAUGAUAUGGGUCACCCCUUCUUCUUGCACCAAAGAUCUUACCAUUUUCGAAGGAACUGGGGCUACAUUUCUUUUCAACUUCCAUUCAAGAGUUUCUAUCUGUUUCCACGCCCUUUUCUUGAGACCUCGAAACAUGAGGACAAAUUACUUCUCUUAG